UACGGAGGGGGCGAGCGUUGUCCGAAGUUACUGGGCGUAAAGGGCGCGUAGGCGGGGUGUCACGUCCGCUGUGAAAGCCUGGAGCUUAACUCCAGCGGGUCGGUGGAUACGGGCACUCUUGAAGGGCGUUAGGGGAAGAUGGAAUUACCCGUGGAGCGGAUGAAAUGCGUAGAGAUGGGUAGGAACACCGGUGGCGAAGGCGGUCUUCUGGGACGUCCUUGACGCUGAGGCGCGAAAGCUGGGGGAGCGAACGGGG
rnacentral:rRNA from 1 species